rnacentral:rRNA from 1 species
UACGUAGGCAGCAAGCGUUGUUCGGAAUUACUGGGCGUAAAGAGUGUGUAGGCGGUGUUCUAAGUGUGGUGUGAAAUCUCCCGGCUCAACUGGGAGGGUGCGCCGCAGACUGGAAUGCUAGAGUAUGGGAGAGGUAAGCGGAAUUCCUGGUGUAGCGGUGAAAUGCGUAGAUAUCAGGAGGAACACCGGUGGCGAAGGCGGCAUCCUGGACCAACACUGACACUGAGGAGCGAAAGCCAGGGGAGCAAACGGG